AUGGAUGGCUAUGAAGUUAUGGCAAGGCAGCAGAGGUAGCUGUAUAAAUGCCACAAAUAAUUAAUAAAAAGCACAGAAUUUCUAGGCUCAUGCCCAAAUCCCAAAUUAAUAACUGCUCAUGUGCAGUUUUUCUAAAGGAGAAAGGACUUUCUGGGCUGCAAUGGCAGUAUCAUUCCAGGAUCAACUAAAUUCCAGCAAAAAGCUAAAUAAAGGUAAACACCAAGAGUGGAAUUGCUGGCUGGUAUGAAAUGCUAGACACUGGUCUGUGUGAAGGAGAGUGGAGAAGAAGCAGACAAGUGCACACCAGGCUGAAGAGGUUUCAACACUUAGAGCGAAGUAUCCCCACCUGUUUAAUAAAGAACUAGACUGGAAUCUCUCCAUGCACACAGCCUCUCUACCUACAGAAAUGCUUUCACAUAAAACAGUUAAAGAAGAACUUUAAAGUAUGAGAACCUCCAAAUAAUAAUUCUAAGUACCACUCCACCAUGUGAGAGCUGCACCCAGGUUGCAUAAAAAUAAUCAUUACAUAGAAUCCUCAUGUGUAACAUGGCUGCAAGGUUGACACAGUCAACACAGAAUCCAUUUCUAUCGGUUUUUCGGUAUGUUAAAGGAAACUUCUGUAUUUAUCAGUGAAAAACAGAACAAGGCUAAUUGAUUAUAUAUACAAACGUAUAUAACAACAAUUGUGGAUUCCUAUUAUGUGAAAAAUGGAAGAAAAAUGCCACAACUACUUUUCAAGGAGCUACAUAAUACUAACACUUCAGGAAACAGCUAUGUAGGAAGUUAGAAUAGUCCCUGGAGCACAGCAGUCACUCAAUAAAUAUUCGUUCAAAGAAUGAACUGAUUAAUCAACCAAGACUCCUUGAAGAAAUGGCUGGUGCUGGGACCAGGACAAAGAUAAUACGAGAUGACUUUGGAAUCUCUUACUGUGCCAGACAGUAAGAAAUGCUCAAAGAAAACUGAGGAAAUGCUAGAAGGACAGUGGAGUCAACCUGAAAGGUUCAUACCACUGGCUAAGUCUGUGACAAAUUGAGAACCAAAAUAAAUAAUGAUAGAUUAUAAAGCAGUAAGCAAAAUAGGAAUCCAAGAGUCUAUAGUGAUAUAAAUAAAUGAACAAACAGAAAAAUGAGGGGAAAGAAAAUUCUAGGGUAGAAUGCCAACUAACAGAUCUAAAAUAAAUGGAAUUAAAAUAUCA